rfam:Ciona savignyi cont_65240, whole genome shotgun sequence.
UAAACGGCUCUUUUCAGAGCCACCCACAUUUUAUAAAGAGCAUAUU